rnacentral:rRNA from 1 species
GAUGAACGCUGACAGAAUGCUUAACACAUGCAAGUCGAUUCAAUUUACCUUCGGGUAUUGAGGAUGGCGGACGGGUGAGUAACGCGUAAGGAACUUGCCUCUUGGUCUGGGACAACUGUUGGAAACGACAGCUAAUACCGGAUAUUAUGAGAUUCUCGCAUGGGAAACUUAUGAAAGCUAUAUGCGCCAAGAGAGAGCCUUGCGUUCCAUUAGCUAGUUGGUGGGGUAACGGCCCACCAAGGCGACGAUGGAUAGCCGGCCUGAGAGGGUGAACGGCCACAAGGGGACUGAGACACGGCCCUUACUCCUACGGGAGGCAGCAGUGGGGAAUAUUGGACAAUGGGCCACAAGCCUGAUCCAGCAAUUCUGUGUGCACGAUGAAGGUCUUCGGAUUGUAAAGUGCUUUCAGUUGGGAAGAAGAAAGUGACGGUACCAACAGAAGAAGCGACGGCUAAAUACGUGCCAGCAGCCGCGGUAAUACGUAUGUCGCAAGCGUUAUCCGGAUUUAUUGGGCGUAAAGCGCGUCUAGGCGGAAAAAUAAGUCUGAUGUUAAAAUGCGGGGCUCAACUCCGUAUUGCGUUGGAAACUGUUUUUCUAGAGUACUGGAGAGGUGGGCGGAACUACAAGUGUAGAGGUGAAAUUCGUAGAUAUUUGUAGGAAUGCCGAUGGAGAAGUCAGCUCACUGGACAGAUACUGACGCUAAANCGCGAAAGC